CUGUAGUGCCUGUUUAGUGUCAUCCAGGACUUGUGUACUUCUCGCGAAAUACGGGAAGCUGACGCACUCAUCGCGAGACGAAGCUGGGCGUGGUUUUACAUCAGCAUCCUAUGCACGAGUUUCUUGAACUGCUUGGUCUGUACGCACUGUCGUCCAAAGUGUGGCGGAGUGAAUGUCAUGGGGAAAGCCAAGCGGACUGGGGCGCGGAGGCAGGUCCACAAAGCGCCCGCAGGGGCGUCCGGAGGCCCGGCGAAAACUAACCCAAACCCAUUUGAAGUGAAAGUCAACCGGCAGAAGUUCCAGAUCCUUGGCAGGAAGACGCGCCACGAUGUGGGCCUGCCCGGGGUGUCCCGCGCUCGUGCCAUCAGGAAGAGAACCCAAACUUUACUAAAGGAGUACAAAGAAAGGAACAAGUCCAAUGUGUUCGCAGACAAACGCUUUGGGGAGUAUAAUAGCAACAUAAGCCCAGAGGAAAAGAUGAUGAAGAGAUUUGCUCUGGAGCAACAGCGAUAUCAUGAGAAAAAGAACAUCUACAACCUAAAUGAAGAUGAAGAAUUGACUCAUUAUGGCCAGUCCUUGGCUGACAUUGAAAAGCAUAAUGACAUUGUGGACAGUGACAGUGAUACUGAAGACCGGGGGGCAUUGUCAGCUGAACUGACUGCUUCCCACUUUGGUGGUGGGGUCCACAAGAACAGCUCUCAGAAGGAGGGCGAGGAUGGAGACAAGCCAAAGACACGGAAGGAACUGAUUGAGGAGCUCAUUGCAAAGUCAAAGCAAGAGAAGAGGGAAAGACAGGCUCAGCGAGAAGAUGCCCUUGAGCUCACAGAGAAGCUGGACCAAGACUGGAAAGAAAUACAGAUUCUCAUGUCACGAAAACCUAAGAAGUCAGAAGACAAAGAGAAAAAGGAAAAACCCCAGCCCGAUGAAUAUGACAUGAUGGUUCGUGAGCUUGGCUUUGAAAUGAAGGCUCAGCCCUCUAACAGGAUGAAAACAGAAGAGGAACUAGCAAAGGAGGAGCAAGAGAGGCUCAAGAAGCUGGAGGCUGAAAGACUUCGAAGAAUGCUUGGAAAAGAUGAACAUGAAAAUAAAAAGAAACCAAAACAUACAUCAGCAGAUGAUUUAAAUGAUGGCUUUAUACUGGAUAAAGACGAUAGGCGCUUGCUUUCUUACAAGGAUGGGAAGAUGAACAUUGAAGAUGUCCAGGAAGAGCAAAGCAAGGAAGCAGAUGGGCAAGAGAAUGACCAGAAAGAGGGAGAAGAUGACAGUGAGGAAGAGGAUGAGAGCCAUGAGGACUCAGAAGAGAGUGAGGACCCAGACAGCCACUCAGACCUAGAAUCUAAUAUAGAGAGUGAGGAGGAAAACGAGACACCGAAGAAGGAGCAACGUCAGACUCCUGGGGGGAAGUUGCCAAAGGAUGACCAGAAAGCUCAAAAGGCUGUUGCAGCUGAGCUGCCCUAUGUCUUUGCAGCUCCUGAAUCCUUUGAGGAGCUGAAGUUUUUAUUGUCAGGAAGAUCAAUGGAAGAGCAACUUUUGGUGGUGGAAAGAAUUCAGAAGUGCAACCAUCCAAGUCUUGCAGUAGGAAACAAAGCAAAAUUGGAAAAAUUGUUUGGCUUCCUCUUGCAAUACAUAGGAGAUUUGGCUACAGACAGCACACCAGACCUCAAGACCAUCGAUAAGUUGGUUGUGCACUUAUAUAGUCUUUGCCAGAUGUUUCCUGAGUCUGCAAGUGACUCCAUAAGAUUUGUUCUCCGAGAUGCCAUGCACGAGAUGGAAGAAAUGAUUGAGACCAAAGGCCGGGCAGCGUUUCCAGGGUUGGAUGUGCUCAUUUAUUUGAAAAUCACUGGGCUGUUGUUUCCAACCUCUGAUUUCUGGCAUCCAGUUGUGACUCCUGCCCUGCUGUGUAUGAGCCAGAUGCUUACUAAGUGUCCAGUCAUGUCCCUACAAGAUGUGAUAAAGGGCCUGUUUGUGUGCUGCUUAUUCCUGGAGUACGUGUCCCUGUCUCGGAGGUUCAUCCCCGAGCUAUUCAAUUUUCUACUUGGGAUUCUUUAUAUAGCAACUCCAAACACAAAGAGCCAAGAGCACUUGGGAAGAACUCGGAAUUGCUCGUGGUCUCCGACAAAGCAGAUGUGACCACCUGGCAGAGGGGAAGCCUCCCCUUGCACUGGGCAAAUAGACUGAGCACCCUGACAGCGACUGAGGCAAAUCACACCAGGCUGUCCUGCGUAGCCUCGUGUUUGAGCCUGAUGAAGCACUGCGUGCUCAUGUACCAGGCACUGCCGUCCUUCCACGCCAUCUUCAGGCCCCAUCAAGCCCUCCUGUCGAAGCAUCUUGCAGAUUGUAGCCUCCCCCAAGAACUUCAGGAGCUGGCUCAAAGCAUACUGUCAGCAAUGGAAGGCCAGAAGCAGCACUGCCGCCCGCUGGUGUGUGAGAAGAGCAAGCCCGUCCCACUGAAGCAGUUCACCCCCCGGCUAGUCAAAGUGCUUGAGUUUGGACGGAAACAAGGCAGCAGUAAAGAAGAACAGGAAAGGAAAAGACUAAUCCACAAACACAAGCGGGAAUUUAAAGGCGCCGUCCGAGAGAUCCGAAAGGACAAUCAGUUCCUGGCCAGGAUGCAGCUCUCAGAAAUCAUGGAAAGGGAUGCAGAAAGAAAGCGUAAAGUAAAACAGCUUUUUAAUAGCCUGGCCACGCAAGAAGGUGAAUGGAAGGCUCUUAAGAGGAAAAAGUUCAAAAAAUAAAUUGUCUUGUAAUGUA